AUUGAACGCUGGCGGCAGGCCUAACACAUGCAAGUCGAGCGGAUGAAGGGAGCUUGCUCCUGGAUUCAGCGGCGGACGGGUGAGUAAUGCCUAGGAAUCUGCCUGGUAGUGGGGGAUAACGUCCGGAAACGGGCGCUAAUACCGCAUACGUCCUGAGGGAGAAAGUGGGGGAUCUUCGGACCUCACGCUAUCAGAUGAGCCUAGGUCGGAUUAGCUAGUUGGUGGGGUAAAGGCCUACCAAGGCGACGAUCCGGAACUGGUCUGAGAGGAUGAUCAGUCACACUGGAACUGAGACACGGUCCAGAGUCCUACGGGAGGCAGCAGUGGGGAAUAUUGGACAAUGGGCGAAAGCCUGAUCCAGCCAUGCCGCGUGUGUGAAGAAGGUCUUCGGAUUGUAAAGCACUGUAAUUUGGGAGGAAGGGCAGUAAGUUAAUACCGUGCUGUUUUGACGUUACCAACAGAAUAAGCACCGGCUAACUUCGUG
rnacentral:rRNA from 1 species